CUCGGGACCGCUCCAGGUGCAGCAGACUAUUACCAUCUCAUUUGACGCAUGAGGGAACUGAGGCUAAGGAAAGUCGAAUCACUUGCCUGAGGUGAAACAAGCAUGGAUGACCCUGCUUUUCAUUUCCCAAAGAAAACAGAAGCAACCAGCAGAGAACCGCAUACCCUUCAGCCUGUGUUCAGCAGAGCCUCCUUCCUUUCUGAGGCUCCAGACCCAGCUCGGGCACCCCUGACCUCUAGUGCCCAAUUUCCUCCCUCCUGCCUGUUGGAAGACAUCACUCUUUUUUGCAUGAUCAGUUUUCUGCCUUUCUACCUGGCUAUUUUCAUCAGUCUGUACACCUGCUGUCAUUCUGCUAUUGAAAAAACCUGAGUCCUCUCUUUACCUGACUUAAAACUUUCCUCAAUAUCAUCAAAUUCUCCACUCCUCUUUAUAAAGCAAAACAUGAAGUGCUCAUGCUCAUACUCAGCGUUCCCAUCCUUCCUGAAAGCCACUCCCAUCAGCCUUUGG
rnacentral:lncRNA from 1 species